GGUUGAAGCAGUAGCAUUUUGAAAACUGGGUGUUUUCUUUGCUUGCCAACCAAUUGAAAAAUGUGAAUGAGCCAUGCAUAUGAGAACCACCUUCCUAUAAAUCAUGCUCUUCCCAUAAAACCCCGAUCAAAUUGUCUUCUUAGUGGUACACAGACCAGUCAUAAACCUCACUUUGAACCACAAUGAAGAAUUUCGAUUCUUGUGCUCCGACCGAAAGAAGGAGCUAGAGGACUUUGACGCCACGAUUGGUAAAGUCCUGGAGAUCUUUGUUAGGCCGACUGAUGAGAUAGCAGAAGACGACCUGAACUGCACUCGAAGCGAAGCUCAAUGACCAAGUCAUUGAUCUUAGCCAAAUCCAAAUAACUGAGAACCGUAAAGAAAUCAUUGACAGAAUCCGUUCCGCUUCGGCUGAGUGGGGAUUCUUCCAGCUGAGCAAUCACGGGAUUGCCUCGAGCCUGAUGGAUAGCAUGUUGAACAGAAUCCGGGGGUUCAAUGAGGGAGACCUGAGGUGAAGAAGUAGUAAUACUCGAGAGGUAGGACUAGGAAGGUCAUGUUCAACUCUAACUUUGAUCUCUAUGUUUCGACAUGUGCCAGCUGGAGAGACACCUUGACCAUAUCCUUGCAGGUCUCGGACGAUCUCGACCCAAGUGACAGUCCAUCUGCUUGCAGAGAAGCAACUGUGGAGUACACAAGGCAAGUGAGAGAGCUUGCCAAUUUGCUCUUGGAAUUGCUGUCAGAAGCUCUAGGGCUCAACCCACAGCACCUGGUAGAGCUGGAGUGUAGCAAAGGAUGCCACUUUGUGUGACACUACUAUCCAGAGUGCCCGGAGCCAGAGCUGACUUUAGGAGCUAAAAAGCAUAGAGACCCUUCUUUUUUCACCAUCCUCUUGCAAGGCCAGAUUGGUGGCCUCCAAGUUCUGCAGCAAGACCAUUGGUUCUGUGUGCAGCCCAUUCCUGGAACCCUUGGCGUUAAUGUUGGGGACUUCCUUCAGAUCAUAUCAAACAACAG